rnacentral:lncRNA from 1 species
UUUACUCUAGCGUUUUGUAUAAGUAAGAGGAAGAGAAAGAAAUUACGGUAGAGAGAGGCAGGAAAGAGACACGGCGGCGGCGUUUAGGGUUCCGCCGCAAACACAACGACGUUGGCGACUGUCACGGUGACCUAGGGUUCUGACUUCGAUAGUAGGCGACGGUUUGUGAACUAUGGUGUUGAUGAAGAUGUCUUAGAAAGGUGGAUCGGUGUUAUGCAGUCAAACUCAGGGCAGAUCGGCGAUGGUAACGGGUGAUCCUCAGUCUUCCGGCGCAUUAGGUAAUUAAAGAUUAGAUCGCUGCUGCACCAUUUUCUGAGGAAAAACGAACCUGAUGCGCCAGAUUGAUCUAAAAGGGUGCUGAGAAAAAGAAUGUCGUUUUAGGUAUUUGAUUUCGAAUUUACUCUUUCGUAGGACAACGUAGAUAAGAUUCAUCAUGAAAAUGUUCGGUAUGUUUUUUGAAUUAAUGUUAUUUAGUUUUCGAAAACGUGUCAACCAAUUACAAGACAUGUAGUUAAACGAAUAUUUGGUUUGCUACAAGCUAUAGUCAUGUCUAUUUAGCGUUUGUGUUAAUUUAAUUUAGAUUCAUAUCCGUGUAGUUAUAAUUUGUUUACACUAUAUAUAUCGAUAUGAUAUGAUGACAUGAAGAGAUUAUGA